rnacentral:lncRNA from 1 species
GAAUUUCUCCGCUUUGAGUUUUUAUUUGGCCCUUGCAAAGGAGGCCACGGCCUUGGCAGCAGAACUGGAGAACAUUUAAAGGCCAGGUGGCUGCUAAAUCAAUCAAACCACAAGGCUGGGAGGGAGAAGCUACAAUGGAAGGAUCUGCCCACCUCACCACAGUUCACAGACAUCAUGGGUUUUCGAAGAGAAGAGAAGAGAAGAGAAGCAACUAAAACCCACAAUUCACCAGUCCAAGAUAAAAUUCAGCAACAGCCCAAGAGGCACCAGUGUCUGAGCAGGCUCCUUGCUCCUGCAGAGGACAGACUGUCACGAGAGAGAUUGUUUUACCA